CCCUUAGAUGUUCUGGGCCGCACGCGCGCUACACUGAUGCAUUCAACGAGCCUAUCCUUGACCGACAGGUCCGGGUAAUCUUUGAAUCUGCAUCGUGACGGGGAUAGAUUAUUGCAAUUAUUAAUCUUCAACGAGGAAUGCCUAGUAAGCGCAAGUCAACAGCUUGCGUUGAUUACGUCCCUGCCCUUUGUACACACCGCCCGUCGCUACUACUGAUUGGAUGUUUAAGCGAGGUUCUCGAACUGCUAGCGACUUAGCUUCGGUGAGGUCGCAGUGUGGGAAGUGAACCUAGCUUUGGUGUCUAGAGGAAGUAAAAGUCGUAACA
rnacentral:rRNA from 1 species